rnacentral:lncRNA from 1 species
GCUCGAAUGUAAACAUAGAAGGUAGGACCGUGCACGCUUCGCCGCUCGUUUGUUCGCCGAGACUGAAAGAAGGCGUGCUGACAGCUCCCACCCCAGCCCGCUCCUUCGCGGGGAAAACAGCCGUCAGUCUCCAGGCCCACCGAGGAGACCGAGCAGGGAAUUCAAUCAGCAUCAGCCGCCCUGGUGCUGAAAUGAAGCAGCUCGCAUGUUAUUAAUCACGCUGGGAAGGCGCUGGAGGAGCGGAAAGAAAGGAGUGGCGAGGCUGGGUGCACGGAGGGGGGACACACACGGACUCUGUUACAAACACCUGGGAAAAUCGUGCAAGGCCCCAGCAGUAAAAGCAAAAUACUCGGGAGCUCUGCGAGGACAGAGAGCUGUGCCCUCUCAGAUAUUGGUGCUGGGCCUGGGAUUACGUAGGUAGAUACAGGGGGUUGUUCCAGCCCAAACAGCAGGAAUGUCUGACCCCUCAUCUACCUGCUGACUUCCUCCCUACAUCACUGCAGACUGUGUCCCCAACACCUGACACCUUCCCUGUAGGACAGGGAUUUGUGAAGGACUUUUGUCAGAGCUCUUGCCUUGGUGUGGCUUGCUGCGGUGCUUUUGGAGUGAUGGCUGAAAGCCUUGGUGUACAUGAGUUGCAUGCAGAGUAAGCUUUGAACUGUACAAACUGCAUGCAAACUAGUGGUGUAAUUGCAUGCAAACUGGUGCUUUGCACUGAUUAAUUUUUUUAAAAGGCCCAAUUUCUCCACUGCUUCACACCAUAUGUUGUCACUUACACUGAUGGGAAGUGAAUAUAAAUUGACACCUUUCUGAUUUGGUAGCAUUUUGUGGUGGCUUUGCAUUGGCACAAAAGCAAGUACAUGCUGCAAAGCUGCUGGUUCCCCUGCCUGAAGACAGCUAGAUGAAUUUCACAGCUAACGCCUGCCUGGAAAAACAGAACAGUAAACGCAGUGAGGUCACAAGUUUUCUUUGCACUGCAGAGAACAAGUGAUGCUCCUGAAAAACUGGCAAAACAGUCCAUGACCUUAACUCUUUUCCAACAUCAAUUCAUUUUUCUCCUAGUUUAAUGUUGAAAACUAAGUUGUAACUCAAUCAUUGGCCAUGGAAUUCAUCCCAGAAGAAAUG